rnacentral:rRNA from 1 species
AAAUUAAUCAUUUAAUUUAACUUAGUUUUAUAACUAAAUUAGUUUGGCAGUGAGUUACUCCUAUCAGGGCAAGGUGUGUUAUAAAGGACGAUCCGCCUAUUAAUUUACCUUGGUUAUGUUGGUGUAUAUCUGGUUUAAUAUUAUUGCUUAGUUGCUUGAAUUUGUGUAUUAAUCUUUAAGCUAAGUCUAUGUGCUGCAUGCCAAGGUUUUCAUGCGUUACAUUAAUAAAGUUUAACUUUGUAACAAGGUAAUAUUUAGGACUUGAUAGUAAUAUUAAAUUAAUUUGUUGAUGUGAAAUUGGUUUAGCUCAGGUACACACCG